rnacentral:rRNA from 1 species
CCCUUAGAUGUUCUGGGCCGCACGCGCGCUACACUGAUGCAUUCAACGAGCCUAUCCUUGACCGACAGGUCCGGGUAAUCUUUGAAUCUGCAUCGUGACGGGGAUAGAUUAUUGCAAGUAUUAAUCUUCAACGAGGAAUGCCUAGUAGGCGCAAGUCAUCAGCUUGCGUCGAUUACGUCCCUGCCCUUUGUACACACCGCCCGUCGCUCCUACCGAUUGGGUGUGCUGGUGAAAUGUUCGGAUCGGCCGUUUGUCGCGGUUUCCGCGGCUCGUGGCUGAGAAGUUCAUUAAACCCUCCCACCUAGAGGAAGGAGAAGUCGUAACA